AACUAACGCUGGCGGCGUGCCUAACACAUGCAAGUCGUACGAGAAAGUUGGCUUCGGCCGAUGAGUAAAGUGGCGCACGGGUGAGUAAUGCGUGGAUAAUCUGCCCUUUAGUUGGGAAUAACGUACCGAAAGGUGCGCUAAUACCUGAUAAUACUGCAUAACUACUGUUGUGUAGUCAAAGAAGGCCUCUGUUUACAAGCUUUUGCUGAAGGAUGAGUCCGCGUACCAUUAGCUGGUUGGUGGGGUAAUGGCCUACCAAGGCUACGAUGGUUAGCUGGUCUGAGAGGAUGAUCAGCCACACUGGAACUGAGACACGGUCCAGACUCCUACGGGAGGCAGCAGUGAGGAAUAUUGCGCAAUGGGGGCAACCCUGACGCAGCAACGCCGCGUGAGUGAGGAAGGUUUUCGGACCGUAAAGCUCUGUCGAGCGGGAAGAAAUGUAUCAUGGCUAAUAUCCAUGAUACUGACGUACGCUAAAGGAGCACCGG
rnacentral:rRNA from 1 species